rnacentral:rRNA from 1 species
GACGAACGCUGGCGGCGUGCCUAAUACAUGCAAGUGGGACGCAAGAGAACACACUGUGCUUGCACACCGUGUUUUCUUGAGUCGCGAACGGGUGAGUAACGCGUAGGUAACCUUCCUAUUAGCGGGGGAUAACUAUUGGAAACGAUAGCUAAUACCGCAUAAUAUUAAUUAUUGCAUGAUAAUUGAUUGAAAGAUGCAAGCGCAUCACUAGUAGAUGGACCUGCGUUGUAUUAGCUAGUUGGUAAGGUAAGAGCUUACCAAGGCGACGAUACAUAGCCGACCUGAGAGGGUGAUCGGCCACACUGGGACUGAGACACGGCCCAGACUCCUACGGGAGGCAGCAGUAGGGAAUCUUCGGCAAUGGACGAAAGUCUGACCGAGCAACGCCGCGUGAGUGAAGAAGGUUUUCGGAUGUAAAGCUCUGUUGUAAGUCAAGAACG